UACGAAGGGGGCUAGCGUUGCUCGGAUUGACUGGGCGUAAAGGGCGCGUAGGCGGUUCGUACAGUCAGACGUGAAAUUCCUGGGCUCAACCUGGGGCUGCGUUUGAUACGUGCGGACUUGAGUGCGGAAGAGGGUCGUGGAAUUCCCAGUGUAGAGGUGAAAUUCGUAGAUAUUGGGAAGAACACCAGUGGCGAAGGCGGCUUCCUGGUCUGCAACUGACGCUGUGGCGCGAAAGCUAGGGGAGCAAACGGG
rnacentral:rRNA from 1 species